rnacentral:rRNA from 1 species
GACGAACGCUGGCGGCGUGCUUAACACAUGCAAGUCGAGCGGACAGACCUGCUUUCCCUUGUGGUUUCCGGGGGCUCGAGUGGCUAAGGGGUGAGCAGCACGUGAGUGAUCUGCACCCAACUUGGGUCUAGGCACGGGAAACUGUGUCUAAUAAUCGAUAGGACUGCAGGGUUGAACAUGGGAUGGCAAACGAUCUUCUAGUGGUUGAGGGUGCGCUCGCGGCCUAUCAGGUUGUUGGUGGGGUAGUGGCCUACCACGACGGGGAGCCGUCGACGGCGUGGGAGCGUGGACGGCCACACUGAGACUGAGAUACGGCCCAGACUCCUACGGGAGGCAGCAGAGGGGAAGAUGGCACCAUGGGCGGAAGGCUGAUGCAGCGAGGCCGCGUGGAGGAUGACGGCCUUCGGGUGGUAAGCUCCUUGCGAACGAGAGGAAGCCACCUGGUUGGAAGGGUGGUGACGGUAGUGGUAGAAGAAGCAACGGCUAACUACGUG